rnacentral:rRNA from 1 species
UCCGUAACUUCGGGAGAAGGUGCGCCGGCUAGGGUGAAGGAUUUACUCCGUAAGCUCUGGCUGGUCGAAGAUACCAGGCCGCUGCGACUGUUUAUUAAAAACACAGCACUCUGCAAACACGAAAGUGGACGUAUAGGGUGUGACGCCUGCCCGGUGCCGGAAGGUUAAUUGAUGGGGUUAGCGCAAGCGAAGCUCUUGAUCGAAGCCCCGGUAAACGGCGGCCGUAACUAUAACGGUCCUAAGGUAGCGAAAUUCCUUGUCGGGUAAGUUCCGACCUGCACGAAUGGCGUAACGAUGGCGGCGCUGUCUCCACCCGAGACUCAGUGAAAUUGAAAUCGCUGUGAAGAUGCAGUGUAUCCGCGGCUAGACGGAAAGACCCCGUGAACCUUUACUGUAGCUUUGCACUGGACUUUGAGCCUGCUUGUGUAGGAUAGGUGGGAGGCUUUGAAGCGUGGACGCCAGUUCGCGUGGAGCCAUCCUUGAAAUACCACCCUGGCAUGCUUGAGGUUCUAACUCUGGUCCGUGAUCCGGAUCGAGGACAGUGUAUGGUGGGCAGUUUGACUGGGGCGGUCUCCUCCUAAAGAGUAACGGAGGAGUACGAAGGUGCGCUCAGACCGGUCGGAAAUCGGUCGCAGAGUAUAAAGGCAAAAGCGCGCUUGACUGCGAGACAGACACGUCGAGCAGGUACGAAAGUAGGUCUUAGUGAUCCGGUGGUUCUGUAUGGAAGGGCCAUCGCUCAACGGAUAAAAGGUACUCCGGGGAUAACAGGCUGAUACCGCCCAAGAGUUCAUAUCGACGGCGGUGUUUGGCACCUCGAUGUCGGCUCAUCACAUCCUGGGGCUGAAGCCGGUCCCAAGGGUAUGGCUGUUCGCCAUUUAAAGUGGUACGCGAGCUGGGUUUAGAACGUCGUGAGACAGUUCGGUCCCUAUCUGCCGUGGACGUUUGAGAUUUGAGAGGGGCUGCUCCUAGUACGAGAGGACCGGAGUGGACGAACCUCUGGUGUUCCGGUUGUCACGCCAGUGGCAUUGCCGGGUAGCUAUGUUCGGAAAAGAUAACCGCUGAAAGCAUCUAAGCGGGAAACUUGCCUCAAGAUGAGAUCUCACUGGGAACUUGAUUCCCCUGAAGGGCCGUCGAAGACUACGACGUUGAUAGGCUGGGUGUGUAAGCGUUGUGAGGCGUUGAGCUAACCAGUACUAAUUGCCCGUGAGGCUUGACCAU